rnacentral:rRNA from 1 species
AGAGUUUGAUCAUGGCUCAGAUUGAACGCUGGCGGCAGGCCUAACACAUGCAAGUCGAGCGGCAGCACAAGGGAGUUUACUCCUGAGGUGGCGAGCGGCGGACGGGUGAGUAAUGCCUAGGGAUCUGCCCAGUCGAGGGGGAUAACAGUUGGAAACGACUGCUAAUACCGCAUACGCCCUACGGGGGAAAGAGGGGGACUUUCGGGCCUCUCGCGAUUGGAUGAACCUAGGUGGGAUUAGCUAGUUGGUGAGGUAAUGGCUCACCAAGGCGACGAUCCCUAGCUGUUCUGAGAGGAUGAUCAGCCACACUGGGACUGAGACACGGCCCAGACUCCUACGGGAGGCAGCAGUGGGGAAUAUUGCACAAUGGGGGAAACCCUGAUGCAGCCAUGCCGCGUGUGUGAAGAAGGCCUUCGGGUUGUAAAGCACUUUCAGUAGGGAGGAAAGGUUGUAAGUUAAUACCUUGCAGCUGUGACGUUACCUACAGAAGAAGGACCGGCUAACUCCGUGCCAGCAGCCGCGGUAAUACGGAGGGUCCAAGCGUUAAUCGGAAUUACUGGGCGUAAAGCGUGCGCAGGCGG